rnacentral:lncRNA from 1 species
AUUAAUUAAUUUUUCAAAAGAUUCUACCAAACUCUGGAAUGAAUGAUUUUAUUACUGAGGACCUGUUUGGAUGCACAGUAAAAAAUUUUUACGAAAUUUAUAAAUUGUAGUUUUGAUCCAAAUGAAAUAGAAAAUUCUGUAACUCUAAAAAAAUUCCACGGAUUCAAUUUUUAAACUGUUUGGAUGCGCAUUGUGCAAUUUCACGAAAUUUCUUUAAAUUUUAAAAUUAAAAGUUAAAAUUUUAAAUUUCAAAAUUUAAAUUUUAAUGAAAUUUAAAAUUUGAUAUGUGAAAUAUGAAAUUUUAAAUUUUAAAUUUUAAAAUUUUAAAAUUUAAAAUUUAAAAUAUAAAAAUCUAAAUUUAAAAUUUUAAAAAUAAAUUUUAAAUUUAAAGUUCAAAUUUUGAAAUUUGAACUAUGAGAUUUGAGAUUUGAAAUUUAAAAUUUGAAAUUUGAAAUAAAUUAAAUUGUAAAAUUUAAAAUUUAAAAUUUGAUAGGUGAAAUUUGAAAUUUGAAAUUAAAAAUUUGAAUAUAAAUUAAAUUGUAAAAUUUAAAAUUUAAAAUUUAAAAUCUAUGUUGAAAUUUAAAAUCUAUAUUGAAAUUUAAAAGUUAGAACUUGAUGCAUCUUUGCCCAAAAAUGGUGGAAUUCUUUUCCUUUGGUUAGAGUGAAUUAUAUUUUUACUCUAUUUUUUGGAGUAUAGUUUAACUAUGCUUCAAAAGUUACAGUAUUUUUUUUCUCCUAAACGCUUCAUAAAUUUCCUACCGGUGUAGCAUAGUUUAACUAUACUACGUUUUUAAGGGUAUCCAAACAGGCCUGAAUAUUCGAUUUUUGUUGG